rnacentral:lncRNA from 1 species
GUCCCGGCCGAGGCGCCGUUUCGGGGAGCGGCGCGCCGGGGGUUAACGGCGCGGCCGUGCGAACGUGGCUCCCGGCACAGCUCUGAAUCACGGGCUCGGGAAGGGUUUGCGGGAGCCGUCCCUGGGCGCCGCUCUGGGCUUUCCCCGCGCCGCCGGGGCCGUGCCGAUUGCGGGCGGAGGCGGCGAGCAGGGGCUUGCGCCGGCGCGGCUGAAAGCCCCUCGGCGCCCGCCCGGGGCGCCUCGCCAUCUCCCCGCAGCUCAGCAAGAUGUUCUUCCUCUUCCCCGACCCCCACUUCAAGAGGACCAAGCACAAAUGGCGAAUCAUCAGCCCCACGCUGCUGGCGGAGGCCUCGUUUACACCAUCACGGACGUGGAGGAGGUGCACGAGUGGAUCGUGAAGCACUUCAGCAGCCACCCGCUCUUCGAGGAGGUGCCGCUGGCCGAGCUGAGCGACGACCCCGUCGUGGCCCGCCUGGCCACCUGCACGGAGGAGGGCAAGAAGGUGCAGCGCAGCGGCGGCAGCACCUUCCCGGCCGUCUUCCGGCGCGUCGAGGACCCGGCACUGCGGGAGGAGGCGUGAGGCGCGGCGAGCGGGCCCGGCCUCGGCGCUGGGUGGCCGGUGCCUCCUCGUUGGUGCCCAGCCAGGGCUGCGCCUGGCCGGGGCGGUCGCCUGCUGCUGAAUUUCCGAAUAAAGCAGUGACUUUGUGGCCCGGGAGAGGCCGCGGUUUGAUCCUGGCUCCUCCGACCCGCUCCGUCGCCGGCCGCAGGGUCCCUGCGGGGCUGGGACUGAUCCCCCUCCCCUUUUUUGCCUGUUUUUGCCGGUCCAUCCGGGGCAGGAGGCUCUGGGCCCCGGCAGGCGCUUGCGGGGGGCCGUGCCGCCGCCCUGCCCUGGCCCGGGGCUGCUCUGCGUGCACCGGCUGCCUCAGUUUCCCCGGCGCCUGGCAGCGGUUCAGGCGUGAUCUCAGCCUC